rnacentral:misc_RNA from 1 species
GUGAAUCAUCGAAUCUUUGAACGCAAAUUGCACUCCCUGGUAUUCCGGGGAGUAUGCCUGUUUGAGGGUCGUUAGAACAAAAAUCGAAGCGUCGCUCUUUGUUUUUAAGGGUUGUCUCGUCUGAAUUCAGCCGUCUUUCAAUUGCUAAUUCAUGUCAAAGUUGCUUGAAAUUCAUCCAGCCGGUCCGAUUAAAUCGUAUUGAAGAUCAACUUUAAUUAAGAACGCGCGA